CAAACUCCAGUGGUAUUUUUAAAAGAAAUACAACAUGCAUGUUAGUCUUAAGUUCUGAUUGAGAUGACAUGCAUUUGUGCUGCCAUUUUGUACUAUCAAGACUUGACUGUUUGUGUGGACAGU
rfam:Pteropus alecto contig90140, whole genome shotgun sequence.